ACUUCCGGUUUGAGCGCUGAGGAGACUGCUGUUGGAGCGCUCCGAGCCCGGCCGGAACCAUGGUGAGGAGCGGGCGGGCCGCGGGCGCGCAGGGCGCAGGCCCCGCGGGGUGUCACGGUGCUGCCGGAGAGCAGAGGUGGCUGCAGGGAGCGGAGCCGCCGCAUGCCCCGGGGGGGUGUUUGGGGUGUUCCGUGCGUGCUGAGCCGCUGCUUUGCUUCCCAGCCCCGCAAGAUUGAGGAGAUCAAGGACUUCCUGCUCACAGCCAGGAGGAAGGACGCCAAGUGUGAGUGUGGGGCUGCUGGAGCCCCCCGGGGGGGACCCGGUGUCCCGGCGGAGCUCCUGGGGCUGGGGGCGCUGCGGGACGCCCGGUGCCGGGUGCAGUGACGGUGGUUUGAAGCGGUUUGCUCGGUGUUGGCGUGUGCCUGAGGCCGCGCUGGGCAGGGGGAUGCUGUGGGGCAGGACUCGGGUUCUCCAGGCCUGGCUGAUCACCCCGGGGGGGUUCAGCCAAGCCCCAGCUUGGAAGCUGGUUUCCAGCCGCUCCAUCCCUGGCUCGCUGCAGCCUUCGCAGCCCGCAGGGUGCCAGGCGCUCGCGGCUCUGCCACAGCGACAAGGGGAUCCUGCUCGAACCUGGCCUUCCUUGUCUUGCACGUACAGAGGUGGUGAUGGCUGAAGCUCUGACACUGCCUCAGCUCAGCACUUAACCGCGUGUGACGAGGUUUCCCUCUUCUCUCGCCUGUUUGGAUCCGACUGGCACACGGAAGAGUCACCUUCAUGCUUAAAUCCUUUUGUUAACCCACCAACGUGGCUGAGAGGAGAGUUCCACACUGAAACGCUGAGGGAGCUGCUGGCAGCCCCUCACAGAGCGUUCCUGUGCUGUUCCACUUGGAUUUCCCAGCGGCUCCAGCCGAGUGGCUCGGAUAAACUGGCUUUUGGGGAGCUCUGUGCGUGGAGCUGGGGAGCUGCAGUGUGGAAACGGGCAAUGGAGUCAGGGUUUCAUGUUGGUGGUUGUAAAACCAGCCUCAAAAUGAAGCCGUCGGCGCCGAGGAGGCUGGGGCUGAGCCCUUGGCUGUUCACCUCCUUGUUGGUGCAGCAAAACCCACUUAAUUUGGGGGUUUCACAGUGCAGGGGGCCAGGGGGAGCUGGGCUGGGGUGGCUCCGUCCUGCUGAGCUCUUCUGACCCUGCAGCCGUCAAGAUCAAGAAGAACAAGGACAACGUGAAGUUCAAGGUGCGCUGCAGCCGGUAUCUCUACACCCUGGUCAUCACCGACAAGGAGAAGGCCGAGAAGCUGAAGCAGUCGCUGCCGCCAGGUUUGGCCGUUAAGGAGCUGAAAUGAGCCGAGAAAUGGGACGUUUCAGUGUUUGUUACAAUAAAUAAACCCGACUGUUCC
rnacentral:lncRNA from 1 species